ACUAACAGAACAAAUCCCUAAAAGGUUCCAUACGAUGCGAUUAACAUAUGAUGCGACCACAAAAAUUGAAGCUGAUGGUGAUGAAGAUGGUAGCAGCUAAGAAACUGCUUGUUAGUCAAACCCUUGAGGAGGAUUAUUUGGAUAUUGAAACCUUAUAAAAUUUUCAGAUGUUAGAUUGUAUGAAAUGCAGCUAGGUUUUUAAAACCUCACCACUAAUGUUUAUGUGGGUUUUUGUCAUUUUCCUUCUUAGUUUUCCUUACUAAUAUCUGUUUUUUUGUCAGACGAAUGUAGUUGUCGGAAGCUAUGGUGGAUACAACACAAGAUGGGCUCUUUUCUUAGUAUGAACAGGCCUAUCUUCUUGAACAAUAUGGAAGGAAGGCUCCAAUGAAAGUGCAUAAAUCUGAGAGGGAGAAACGUAAGAAGGACAAGUAGAAUGAUCUCUUUUGGGAGCCGGGAAACAUGCUAGGUUCUUUGAUUGGGCUGCCAUCAUUUUCUCCGUCGACGAAGCAUCGUCUACAGUUGUGUACCAAAGACGAAGUGGAGUUUGCAAAAUGAAAGAUGGAGAGAAAAUACUCCAAGGAUGAGUGUCAUUGCUUGCUGACAUGUGAUUUCAAGAUAGUAAUAUAAUUUGAUGGCUCCUAUUGCUUAACUGUACUUGGUUACAACUGUUCCAAGGAUGACUGUUCCAUUUGCUGACAUGUGAUUUUACAGUCACCAUUU